UAGCCUGAGAUGAUGGCUCAGUUUCAUGUCUCUUCUCUGACAGUUCUGUCUGGAGAUGGUUUCUGCAUUAUUGAUCUGAUCAGGCUA
rnacentral:snoRNA from 1 species